CCUUCCCUUUCCUGUCUCACUUCCCCACUCCUCUUCCUGGGUCGCCUCCCAAACAAACUACUUGGACCUGAAUCUCGUCCAGCCUUAUGUUCUGGUGUUAAAGAGUCUGUCUGGAAUUUACCCUGAGAACAAUAGGCUUUACCUUCCUCUGAUAAUUGGCAAAAGGUUCUGAAGCUCCCAGGCCAUCUGGAGUCCUUGUAAACUAGCAUACCUACAGGUAAAGAGACUGAAAGAAACUGUUUAAGAAACGAAAUGGAGCUUUUGCAGCUAUCUACUGCUUAAGAAAAUAAUGAGUGUUCAGCUGGUUUGCUCUCUCGGCUGUUUCUCCAGGACUGCCCCAGGAGCAGAGUCUCCAAAAGUGAGCAAAAUCAGCUACACAAAAUGGGACGUGCAAGUUACCCAUAUGUUUGUGUUGCACACAUUUUGCAUGAAAGGUAGAAAGUGCAAACAAAGAAAACUGGACACUCUUUGAAGUUACUCAACUGAUGACGACACCUCACUCUCUUCUCUACGUGGCUGGUGUUCCAUCUUUCCUCCCACAGACGCUGUGAGCAUGUCAGUACCAGUGGGGCUUUGCAGCCAUGAUACAAGGCUUUUCUUCUCUGUCAUGUGUACAGAGCCAUGUACCACCAUGGAACCAAUGUUCCAGCCAUGGUUCACUGUGUGGUUUCCUUCUUCAUAACUGCCACGACUAAAACAACACGUCAAAGCAAUAUUUUUUUCCUCUUUAUUUCUCCGGGGCAAUUUCUCAGUGAAUGUGCCUUUUUUAUUUCUUUUUCCUUUUUUUUUGAGACGGAAUCUCACUCUGUCGCCCGGACUGGACUGUAAUGGUGUGAUCUCUGCUCACUGCAACCUCCGCCUCCCGGGUUCAAGCGAUUCUCCUUCCUCAGCCUCCCGAGUAGCUGGGACUACAGGUGCGCGCCACCACACCCAGCUAAUUUUUUUGUAUUUUUAGUACGGAUAAGGUUUCACCAUGUUGGCCAGGCUGAUCUUGAACUCCUGACUUCAUGAUUUGCCCGCCUCGGCCUCCCAAAGUGCUGGGAUUACAGACGUGAGCCACUGCACCCUGCCGAAUGUACUUUUUUUUUUUUUAAACUCUAUCUUACUUCCUUCUCAUCACCUAAUUCAGAAUUCCUAUAAUCGUUGGUCGAGAGUCUAUUGCCUAGUGAUGUCAGAGGGUUCGCAGAAACCCCAGUGCCUUGGUAUCCACAAAUGUUUUUCUUUUAGUUAUGCUGAACUGGUGCUGCCUAAUAGGGCAGCCACUCACACAUACUUCAAUUUAAAUUAAUUAAAAUGACGUAAAAUUUAAAAUUCUUGUUUUCAGCUGUACAAGCCAUAUUUUGAUAGCCCCCUGUAGCUAAUGGCUACCAUAUUGAACAGCAAAGAUAUACGGUACUUACCCAGCAGUAUAGAAAGCUCAACCGGACAGUGCUACAACAGUUGCAGGUAAGCAAGCAAGGUAAGGAUAGUCCCAAUCAGAUAGAUGGCAUCUAUUUUGUGUGAAGCCUUGUGAGGUGGCUCACACCUGUAGUCCCAGCUACUUGGGAAGCUGAGGUGGGAGGAUCACUUGAGGUCAGGAGUUUGAGACCAGCCUGGGCAACAUAAUGAAACGAAAAUAAAAAAAUUUUUUUUUUCUGUGUGAAAU
rnacentral:lncRNA from 1 species